UUUUUUUUUUUAGGUAAAAACGAGUAUAGGCCACUUGAUAACAUUCCAUGUCACCUAAAACCAAGCAAAAAUCUAGAAUAUAGUGGAUUCUGAGUACAUGAUAAAUGAAUCCAUCAAUUAUUUAACAUAAGGACCAACCUGUGUGGGAUGUAAUUAAAGUGAAGGAGACAGUGCGAAUAAAACAAUUCCAGAAGAUUUAAUGACAGAAGGAGGAAUGGAACCAAGUCCUGAAGGAGUUCUUCAAGGCUGGAUUAGUGAGAGGAGAGGAGAGCCCUUUGAGAUGGGAAGGGCAGGUUGACAAAUGGUUGUGAAUGCAUUCACAGGACAUGAAAGAGACCAGCCUGGUUGCAGAGGAAAUUACUUCGAUAGGGAAGAGCCAUAUUACUUGAUAAUAAAUGAUGUCAGCUGCCAAUUUCCAAACCAGGCUGCAUUUGUACAAACAAUCGAUUUUAAGAAUCAAUUACUGGAUUUCAAACCACUCCCCCAUCUGUUUCCCGAACAGCUAAUUUCAAAAUAACUAGGUGACUAAUGAAUUAAACUACUGUGUUCACCUGGGCAUUCAAGAUUGCAUUCUCCCUCAUAAUUUAUAUAACUUAUUUCUCCUUCCCAGGACAACUAUUAGAUCUAUCAUCCUAGGGGUAAUGCAGUGAAAGAAUGAUUUGGGAUUCUCUUUAUAGACACAGAAUCAUGAGCCGUUUAAGCAGCUUUGAGCAAAGGGUGUAAAUGUUUACCACUCCCACCACUGAACAUUUAUUGGUCAAAAUUAAAUUUGAUAUACAGCUAAUUUGAACACUUUUGCCACACAAAAACCUGCAUGAAAAUGUUCAUAGCAGCUUUAUUCAUAAUCCCUUAAAACCGGAGGCAAUUAAGAUGUCCUUCAAAAGGCGAAUAAACAGUGGUACACCAAUGCAGUAAAAUAUUCCUCAGUGAUUAAAAAAGAAUGAGCUAGGGAGUUCCCGUUGUGGCGCAAUGGAAAUGAAUCUGACUAGUAUCCAUGAGAAUGCAGGUUUGCUCCUUGGCCUCGCUCAGUGGGUUGGGGGUCUGGCAUUGCCAUGAGUUAUGGUGUAGGUUGCAGAUGUGGCUUGGAUCUGGCAUUGCUGUGGCUGUGGCAUAGGCACAGCUUCAAUUUGAUUCCUAGCCUGAGAACUUCCAUGUGCUGUAGGUAUGGCUCUAAAAAGUUAAACAAACAAAAAAAAAGAAUGCAAUAACAAGCUACAAAAAAACAUGAAUCCAUCUUAAAAUGCACCUUGCUAGGUGAAAUAAGUCAGUCUGAAAAAGCUACAAACCAUAGGAGUCUAUUUAUAUGACAUUCUAGAAAUGGCAGAACUAUAGAUUGUAAACAGAUCAUUGGCUGCUAGGGGCUUAGGGGAAGGAAGGGAGGAGAGCUGAACAGACGAAGCGCAUGGGAUUUUUUUAUCUGUAUGAUACUGGUGGAUGGUGGAUAGGUGACACUAUAUAUUUGUUAAAACCCAUAGAAUUCUGCAACACAAAGAGUGAACCUUAAUGUAUGCAAAUAAAAAAAACUGUCUAGGAGAUAAGGGGACCCAAGGAUAGAAUGGGAUCCCUCUCCUCCCCCCAGAAAUUGAACUGAAUUACAAAUAUGUGAAACACACUUGAUAAAGGGGGUGGUGGUGACCUAAGUAAUUUGAAAAAGAGUGGACAUAAUGUCUACAGCAAUGCCAUGGGUGGGCCUGGCCUUCCUGGUGUUGCUCUGUCUAUGGAUCAUGCCCACGCCUAACACCUUGAGAAAGCCUCUCCCGCGCCUUUGAGAGAUACUUUUGCCUUGUUGGCUACUCAAUUACCUUAGGUGACCCCAGACAAUGUUUGUCCAGACACUAGUCCCAUUAAGCACCUUCGGGAUUCCAACUGGCAAAGCUGCCCAGACUACGACUACCCUAAACUCGCAAGAGUCAUAGUAUUUCUCCCUUCAGGCAGGUCCUGCAAACAAUUUAGUGGGCAAACCAAGGUAGAAUUCAGCAGAUACAGCAAAAACCAGUGGCGGCUAAAAUGCAAAAAGGUCAAUGGCCCAUGGUGCCCUGCUAGCCAGUGCAGGACAUUCCAUGAAUCCAGCUAGUAAACCAAGAGCAGUUCAGAGGCAUGUCAUCACUGUCUGUCACUGAGCUACCUGGCUCGUCACACCAAUUACCCAGGAUUUGUUUUAAUCUGAGAAAAUGACAGACAUGGAGAUAGCUGCUUUGAUAGAAGAGCUUAUGACUUACAAUUCCCAAGAGGAGGGGACACACCUGUCAUGCAGGGCCACCCAAGGAAGCACCAGGUCAGACAGGAGGAAGGAGUGAAAUGUAGACCAGAGAGUUUAUUACCCAAUACAGGGGACAUGCCUGUCACCCAGGGCCAUACGAGGAAGCACCAGGUCAGACAAGGAGGAAGAAGGAGUGAAGUGUAGACCGGAGUGUUUAUUACCAAAUAAAGAACUGGUGGGAAGUUGUCAGGUGGGGACGUCCCCUACAGGGCAGGAAGCAAAAUGCAUGUGUUGGAAGCUUUGUAAUAUUUCUCUGUGCUACAAAGCCACAGAGAUGGCAGUACACCCACAAUUUGGGCCCAUGAUUUCAAGAUGUCACAUAAGCAAGGCUGGUUAUUACAACGGGUUCCUGGAACAGAAAAGGGACAUUAGGUAAAAACUAAGGCAAUCAGAGUACACUGUGGGAUGCAGCCCAGCCAUUAAUCAUGACAAAUUGUAUGAUACUAAUGUAAGAUAUUAAUUACAGGGGAAAACUGGCAUGAAAUACAUGAGGACUUUCUAUGCUAUCUUUAUACCUUCUCUGUAAAUCCAGAACUUCUCAAAAAUAAUACUGUCUUUUAUAAAAUGCACUUGGAGAAUAAUCUACACAAUUUCAGUUCUCUCCUCUAAAUUUUCUUCAUAUUAGGUAUGUGUUUCCACUGGGAAUAAGAGGAAGAGAGUGGGUACUUAUCUUUUCCGAAUGUUCAUUCAUUGAUUUAUCAAACGCUUAUUGAGCAUCUGACUCGUUCUGGCUGGUGCUAGGGGAAGAUAGAAAGAAAGAAAAAUGCUGACCCUGCUCUUAAGAAAAUCCCCGUUUAAUGGAGGUUAUAGGCGCAAAACCCCAUCCUUACUGCACAAGUUGACAGGUGCUGUGCCAGGAUUUUAUACAUGAUGCACUCAAAGAAGGGUUUGUAGGAUUCAGGAAAGACUUCUCAGCAGAGCCAACAUUUAAAGAGCAUCUUGAAGGGUCAGGGGCAAUUUGAAAAAGAGAACAGAGGGGAAAGGGCUUGAGAGCAGAACUUGAAGCAAAGACACAUGGGCAACAAGUCAUGAUGUUUGGGAGGUGAAGUUAGGCAGGACAUGAAACCCACGGCUGGGCAUCGUAGGAGAUGAGGCUGGACAGGAAUAUUCAGGCUUUAGCCUUUAGGAGGCACUUAAUAAAUGUUUCUGAAUGAAUGAAUGAAUGACCAGAAGCUGAAAGGCUCUGCAUGGUUUUUAGAGUCUAGACUAUUCAAGAGGCAACAGGGAGCCACCUUGGGUUUUCGAGUGGAGAAAUAACAUGACAAGUGUGGGUCACGGACCUUGUGGUCCAUGCAACAUCAGCAUCACCUGAGUGCUUAUGAGAACCAGAGAGUCUGAAGUCAGACCCCAGACACGUCAAAUCAGAACCUGCACUUCAUCCAGAUGCCCAGGCGAUUUAUCUGUGCAUUUCAUUUCCAGGAGGGCCGCUUUAGAAAGCUCACUUUGUUGGAAGAGAAAAAAAGUAGUCUUUUUAAAAAUUCCCAUCAGAAAAGAAAGAAAGAGAGAAGAAAAAAGAGGGGGGAAAGAGGAAAGACAGAAGAGAGAAAAAGGAAACAAUAACGCACAUAAAUGAAAUGGACACACAAGCUUCUCCCAAACUGCUUUCUUCCACCCAAGUCCUGUCCUUUGAAAGAAGCAGCAUCUCUAACUGGAAGACUUCCGGAUCCCAGCCGGCCUCCAGAGGAGGGGCGUGUGUGUCCUUUGAAAGGGCUACUUUGGAAUUGGGGAAGGGGGAGGGGCUGCGAGGGACCGCUGGUGGCAGAGCGACAGGCAAACGCGGAACUCCUAUUCCCUCUGCAAGCAGAUGAAACAUGCACUUAAUUUCCAGGAAAGUGGCUGCUGGGAUGGCAGCCUAGGGAAAUCAAAGGCUCAGCGGGCCCUCAUAAUUCACACUCAUUUUGUGUAGCCAGAGCGGAUGAUGGGAUGGCAGGGUAAAAACGUCCCCGGCUCUUGCCAGCACACUGCUGUGUGGAGGCCCAUCCCUCUCCUCUGUCUCCCUCUGCCUGCUUGCCCAGGGCAGCCAAAAUCUGGGUUCUUGCAGAGAAAGAAAAUGAAAACGUCCCACUCUGCCCAGGCGCAGGCUGCAAGAGGCAGUCUUUGCAGACGAGAGUGACCCACUUCCAGCCCCUCGUGCCUAUUGUCUGUGCGGCUGGGCGUCCUUCUCCUCCACGGGACACUCAUGCAGAUCUAUUUACCCACACAUGCUGAAUUCACUUCUGAUGAGCUACACAGGAGAAUGAUAUCCCUGUGUCUCAGACUUUUAUUUGAGAUGAAAGACCAAACAGAGCCCGGCUUGUCUGAGUCGUGCCCCAAGUUUGGUGAUUAUUCUCAGAAUACAGACAAGGCUUUAUUUGGAUUUUCAUUCAUCCGCCUCCUUUCAUCACUGGGUUGCUAAGAAUGGAACUCAUUCUCCAAUGAAGGCUGCCAGCUGCUCAACUGCUCUGACCAGGCAGGUUCACCUAUUUUUUUUUUCUGUUUUUCAGGUCCCUCCUGAACACAAUGCAAGAUGUCCCACGUGUCCUUAGUUUACAGACGGGGGCAUCAAGAUGAGCAGCUUGCUGGUAGCUUACUUAGCACACAACUCUGCAUUCAAGACGCAGCUCUUUCCUCUGUGCUACUAGUGAUAUUCAUUCAAGGUCAAAAAUCCCCUAGGGGCCACCAUCUGGGUUCCCUGAAAUAGGAUCCUCUUGGAAUAACUACGUCUACCUUGAAGACCCCCGUGUUUUUAAUGAUAACACUCAUACUUCAUAUUCAUUAGAGCUUUUUGCUUUUUGAACUCCUAUCACAUCUGAUCUCAUUUACGCUUAAGAAUAUAUCAAAAGAAGAGUCCCACGGUGGCCUAGCGGUUAAAGAUUUGGCAUUGCCACUGCUGGGGCUUGGGUUUGAUCCCUGGCCCAGGGAACUUCCAUAUGCCAAAGCAUAUCACAGGACCUGCAGAGCUAGGCUGCUAUCCCCAGGUAUUUGGAGAAAGGGCCUGAAGCCCCCAGGGAAUAAGCAGCAGCGUGGCAUGAAUGGAAGGGCUUUGGAAAAGACAGGCGAGGCUGGGGUGCCUCACCUUCCCAUCUGCAGGAACUGAUGCAUGAUGUCACCCAGUACAAAUUGGAAUGUAUAGCCUGACAUUGAUGAGACAGAACUGGAAACAAAUGAUGGCUGGCUUUGAAAAGGUGAAAAUUGCCAUGAGAAAGAAGCAGCUGUGUGUGUGUGUGUGUGUGUGUGCGCGCGCACACCUUUCCAGAUAUAAGAAGUGAGGGAAUCCAGCCUCUCCAACUAGGUCCCCAAUGAAUCCUGGUCACCCCCUCGCUCAGAGUGAUUCAAUUAAAUCCAGAGAUAGAAGCCCUGAGCAGGGCAUAUAGUGAGAACCAGUGGUUCUGUUUGCCUGAAGAUUUUAUAAGCAUAUGGGUAGAGACUGGUAGGAGUCCUUGGGACGGUCAUCACCCAAGACAGAUUCUCUAACAAAACUGGGGAGCAGAGCACCUGGUCCGGCCUCCUUCCAUGGACCCCGUAUAUCAUAAAGAUGCUAGGCGUGGGACACAAAUCCGAAAUGCUGGAUGGCUGGAAGCAAGGCAGAAGCAUUUUUCAGGCUGGUGUAGCUCUCAUCACCUUUGCAACUCAUCUUAGAAGAACUGAUCCAAAAUCCUAAACAGUGUUGCAUUCCAGGAAACUCAUGGUGCUACAAGAAACUGAGCCAUCGGAGUUCCUGCUGUGCCACAGCAGAAACGAAUCCGACUAGUAACCAUGAGGACAUGGGUUCGAUCCCUGGCCUCGCUCAGUGGGUUAAGGAUCCGGUGGUGCCAUGAGCUGUGAUGUAGGUUGCAGAUGUGGCUCGGAUCCCGCAUUGCUGUGGCUGUGGUGUAGGCCAGCAGCUGGAGCUCCAAUUUGAUCCCUAGCCUGGAAACCUCCAUAUGCCGCAGGUGCUGCCCUAAAAAGAAAAGAAAGAAGGGAGGGAGGGAGGAAGGAGAGAAAGGAAGGAAGGAAGGAAGGAAGGAAGGAAAAUAGAGAGAGAAAGGAAGAAAAAAACUGAGUCAUCGACGGCAGAGAACAAAAGGACAUGCGCAUCACAGCCUCACAGCUGUGGAGAGGACCACUCCCAGCUGUGGAGAAGCUGCAAGAAGCCUGUAGAAAUGGCAUCAAUUCAAUGACCUAGCAUUGGCAAGGAUGAGGAGAGGGGAGUGGCACUAUGACAGGGUCCAGCUGCAGCACUGGAGCUGUUUGAAGAGGCAGCAGUGGCUGAGGUUAGGAGGUGGGGCAGAGCUCAGGGGAGCAGACCUAGCUGGAGA
rnacentral:lncRNA from 1 species